rnacentral:lncRNA from 1 species
CUCUGAGGGCCUGGUGCUCCGGACACUGGCCAGAGGGAUGGCUUCUCCCUCUUCUGUCUGUCCUCCUGAUACUGCGCACUGGACGCCCAUCAGGGAUGUGAGAGGCAGCGAGGCAGACCUGUCCUGCGGGCUUCCGCAUGAUGACAGGGGCCCCAAGGACGACGAGGGCAGCGGGAUGGCAGGGGCCCCGCUCAGCGGUCGACGAGGGGCAGCGCCUUUCCAGAAGCGGCACCGGCCCGCUCGUCCCCAUGCGCUGCUCCGCGAGGCGACGACACCUCCGGGCGUGGGGCACACAUUCGGCCGUUACGUCUCCGUUGCCCUUUCUGUGCGCCGUGGGAAGCCCCCGCCUCCUGGGCCUCAUUUCCGAACAAAGAGGAGAAAGAAGGGCCGGCGCGCACAGCCGCCCCGCCGCGCCAGCCGCUCCGGAAAGAAACCCGCCUCCCGCGGGCGCCGGUGGAGACGCCGCGCCUCCGUGUCCAGCGAUCAUCGCUUUGGGGUCAGGGCCUUACAGGCAAGCAGCGUGCACCCCCUUAGCCUCAGGUUCCCCAAAUGCGUUUGAGCAGGGACACGCCUUCACCUCCGGGUGCCCGUGGGGACCCGUUUUCCAGGCGACACCUGGUGGCAAAGACUGGGUCGCGCACGGUCUGCAGGAGGCGGCGGGACGGGAGCCUGGUUCACAGAAUUUUGUGCAGAUCCGCGGAACUGAAGUGGCGAUCAGCGCGCGGCGGAGCGCAUCAGGCCUUGGGCGCUCGCUGCUGAGCCUGACGACCCCAUGCACACGCGCACCACCGUCCAAUUCCAGGAACAGACUUCCAGCCAACCCCGCCCCAGCGACGAGCAUCCUCGUUUCCUCCCCUGGGUGGGCUUUCCAGGUUCCCGCCGUGGGAGACGCGCGCUGCAUUCCAGCGCUCCGCGCCGCGCUGGUCCGUCGGCCCCGGCCAUCUCCGAGAGGCUGCGUGGACCGUCUUCAUCGCGGCCGACGGAAAUACAGCUGCCGUCUGCGAUCUCGGCGAGCGGGGCUCCGCACUGCGCAUGCUUCUUCUUCUUCAUCCGGCGCAGGGCGGGGGGCUCGCCUACUCCUGAGUCCCAGAGGACCUGUCCCCUAAAAGCCCUGAGCCGCGGGCGGGGGGGCAGGCACCCCCGCCGUUCUGCCUCGUCCUCCGCAAAGCUGGUGUGCCAGAGCCCCCCGGGGGACCCCGCGGGGAAGGCUUGUUGACAGUGCGGCUCCGGGCCUGGGAACCUGCAUUUCAGGCCUCCCACCCCUCCUUGCCCCAGACGCACCCUGUGUGACCCGCUUCUGGCUCCUGUGACUGCGAGCGUGUGGGCAGCAGAGAUCUGAACUGCCCCACCCCCGUGUGGGAGGGGCGGCGUCGCUCAGACACACUGCGGGGAGCCAGACCUCGUUCUCUGAGCCCGGGGCCUGACCUCAGUGCCCUCGCCGUGACAGGCAGACGCCCAACGUCUCUCCAUGGAGACGGACCCCUUGGUGUCCCCCUGAGACAGGCAGACACCCCAACAUCUCUCCAUGCAGAUCGACCCCUCGAUGUCCCCCUGAGACAGGCAGACACCCCAACGUCUCUCCAUGGCAGACGGACCCCUUGGUGUCCCCCUGAGACAGGAAGACACCCCAACUUCUCUCCAUGCAGACAGACCCUUUGGUGUCCCCCUGAGACAGGCAGGCACCCAACAUCUCUCAAAGACAGACAGACCCCUCAGUGUCCCCCUGAGACAGGCAGGCACCCCGGUGAACCCCUGCACAUAGAGUCCCGACACCCACUGCCACAGAUCGGCCCCCAUGGAGUCCUCUUUCAGGCACAAACGGAAGCUGGCUCCUGGCAAGAGGGACCCUCCCACAGGGGACGGGGUGGCGGCUCUGUGGGUCGUCGUGGUGAGAUGUGAGUGAGACAGGGCCUUGAAGUUUGGGGUGAGUGUGAAUCCUCGUACCCCCCACCCCACCAAGUGCCCUGCCAAGCCUGGGCCACUGGGUUUGCAGAAAUGUACGAGGCCCUUGGUUUUCUGCUUGUCCCUGGCCCUCAGCUCUGGGGAAUGCACAGCGGGGGGCUGGGCGAGGAUGGGUGGUCUCAGGAUGGGGGCCCCUAGGGGAGGGAGGGAACAGGGUUUCUUCCCUGUGAAUUCCAGGCUGGGAGCAGGCAGCACAUAACCAGCCACUUCCUGUGCCCCCCUUGGUGCAUCCCGACUGAGCCCAGCUUGUCCGUCCGUCUGUCCAGGCCAGCCCUGUGGCUGGGCACUGUGAACGGGGCUUUGGGGUCAUUGCUGGGCUUCUCUGCAAUCGAUGGGGAGUCUUUCGUGCUGAUUUACAUUUCAGACACAGCGCUUCCAUUGAUCCCCGGCCCCUCACGCAGCGCCCGAGUCGCGCCUGUCCCGUAUCCCAUUAGCUAAUUGUGUCUUGCGCCAUCCUCCAUCUGCUGGAAAUGUAAGCUGGCUGGGUUCUCCACCUUCCACAAGUGGCAGUGUCUUUUUGUCCCUUGUUCCUGUCCUCCUCUCUUCGACGACAAGAAAGCUCCCUCCCCAUUCCUGGAGACCCCCGCUCACUUUUUGCCCCCCUGCCCCUUCCAGGAAAGCAGGUCCCACUCCUUGCGCUGACUGUGAUAGAGCUCAGCUCUAACCCCCAAGACAAAGGACCGGAAUCCACCCGUGCCUGGGGAGUCCUGUGGGGGCCUGUGGGGUCUUUGGGCUUGUUAGGUGGUGGAGCAGCUUGGCUGGGAUCUCUGGGACAAGGAGGAAGCUUCCUGGUUUCAUGGGUCCUGGGCUGCAGAUUUGUCUUGUUGGCAUCAGGGCAGGAGGGCUGGUGGGGCCCCUGGAGCCCCGCUGGGCCCUCUGCUCAGGCUGGUCAGCCUUUCCGGUGGGGUGGGAUGCCCCUUGCAUCCCCCAGGGGCUGGUCCAGAGCCUGGAACGAGAGAUGAUGUCCUGGGACUCCACCCCGCAAAGGGGCCUGAUGUGAAAUGACCAAAAGUAAACACAUUGUCUCUGCCCCCGGUUCCUGCCUCAGAGCUCCUGAAAUCCCUGUGCUUUCCUGGGUGAUGGGAGUGUCUUUUGUCCUAGUGAGGUGAUCCUGGGUGGGCUCCUCGGUGGAGCCAUGAUCCAGAGAGGGGAGAGGGGCUGGAAAUGGAGGUAAGGGUUGAUCAUGUCGACGUGAGGAAGCGUCCAUAAAACCCCAAUAGCACGGGGUUCAGGGAGCUUCCAGGCUGGUGAGCACAUCCAAAUACCUGCAGGGUGACACCCCAUCUCCAAGGGGACAGAAGCUCCUAGCUCAAGACCCUCUUGGAUCUCACCCUGUGUGUCUCUGCAUCUGGCUGUUCUUCUGUAUCCUUUAUUCUAUAGUAAACCAGUAAACACAGAUGUUUCUCUGAGUUCUGGGAGCUGCUCUAGCAAAUUAAUUGAACCGAGGAAGGGGUCGUGGGAACCUCCGAUUUGUAGAGGGUCCUUCAGAAGCACAGGCGACAACCUAGGCUUGCAAUUGGCGUCUCAAGUGGGGAGCAGUUUUGUGGGGCUGAGCCCUUAACCUGCGGGAUCCGCUGCUAUCUACUCCACAGGCAGAUGGUGUCAGAACCGAAUUGAAUUGUAGGGCACCCGGUGGUGUCGGAGAAUUGCUUAGUGUGGGCGAAACCCCGACCUUUGGGGUGGGAAAUGUCACAGGCGCAGUGUUCUGUGCGCGGGUGAAGGAGGAGCACAGAGUGUCCCAGCCUGGGCUCCCUGAGGAUGCGAGACCGAGGGUCAGUUCCAGCCUCUCAGACUGGAUCAGAUUGGGCCGGACGCAGGGCCACACAUUAAGGCUUUUUGCACGACUCCAAAUGUCCCCUGGUGAGUCAGCACCUCGUGUGCUGGGAGCUCUGCCGUCGUCCUUGCUUCUUCCGGUAAAGUGGAUCUGUGAGCUGGAUCAGCAUCUCUGACGGCCUUUGUGGGCCAGGAGAACUGCAGCGUGACCCCACCGCUGCGUAGUAGGGGGCGGACUGCCUUCCUGCCAGAGCCUGGCUGGCUGUGUUUCCCUCUUAGAUGCAGAAAUGCGCGCACAGUCUGCUGCCCUCAUGUCUCUGCCAAGGCGACUUUCUCCCCGAGUGGAGCUCUGCCCAAAGGGACAGCACAGGGGGACAGGCACCGUCCUCCUGCUCGGCAGCCCCAGUGGGCGGGGGAAGCGGCUUUCCAGAAUCGGAGGCUUCAGGGGCAGGCUGGGUGCCCGAAAGCACAGGCCUGUUCAGAGGACACCCCACUGGCCCCUCCCGGGAGACCACAUGCCCGCCCGCCUGCCCUGCCUUCCUCCUGGGCUGUGGUCCUAAAUCUCCCCAGACAGGGUGGAGCUGCCCCGGGAGGGCUCCUUGGAGGGUCUCCUUGCAGACGCCCCUGCUCAUUAGCUGCCCCCAGACCUCCCCCAGCACCCCUUCCUCCCCUAAGGCUGGGGGAGCCCGGGCCCCCCACCCACUGGCUCUGCUCAGAGUCCCCAGCUCUGGGCCCGCCAGCUGUGCCCACCUCUCCCCUGGGACCAGCAAGUGAUUUGCACCUUUUUCAGGUGAGAAGGGGCAGCUGUGGCCUGUUCCCAGGGGAAUUUCUCAGAAUCAGAAGCCUUUCCCAAACUCAGUUCAAUAGGAAUUGAAGAAACUCAAUUCGACACGUGGCUUUGGGCUCCUGCCUAGUGUGGGAACCUGGGAGCUAGGGGUGAGGGUCCUGCCAGCAGACACCCUGGGACCCCCGGGGCCCAGGCUGCCAGGACACACGAGGGGCUGAUGGGGUGUGGGGCCCCCUGACCCCCAAGGGCCCUCCUACCUUCCUGGGCGCCCUCCGUAAAAACUGGGAAAUAUUCUUUGUAACAACCGUGCUGACGUGAAGACCAACGUAUUAAUACUAUAAAUGAAAAUAUUACUUCAAUCUCAAAGUUCUUUGUUUCUCUUACGAUUUUAAAAGUCAUUCAGACACUGAUGUGAGCCCGGGCUGGAUGCAGGAGCUCAGAGGGGACACAGGGCGUGUGAAGGGCAGGGGCGCCCGUGUGGAGGGGACGCAGCCGUGUGGUGGGGAGGGGCGGUGGGCCCAGGCGGUGGGAGUGGCACACGUGGGCUGGACCUUUGAAGUCCUGGGACCCGGGCACAGUCCCCACCCCCACCCAGACCGUGAAGAUGUGACCUGGGACUGUCUGGUCCACAGCAGAGGUGUCUGCACGGGGCUCUGGGCUCCUGCCCUUGUUCCUGGCCUCCUGGCUGCGGUGCUGGGAGGAACCUUGGGCGCGGCUGGUUGAGCUGCUGGGAAAUUUCUAGCACCCUCCUGCGAGCCUGCUAUGGCCCUGGGAGCUGGUGAUCUACACUCCAGAAACUUCCAGACAUGCCCACGGCCUCUCCGCCCACCCGUGGGGGAGUGAGGCCAGCAGGGCAGUGGGCUGGAGUUGGAGAGGCGGCCCCUGACCCCGUCCUCAGCCUCAGGAAAUGGGGUUUGGGGUUGUUAUGGGCUGAAAUGUGCCCCCAAAUUCACAUUCCUAACUCUCAGGACCCCAGAAUGUGUCUAUGUUUGGAGGUGAUUCAGGUAAACUGAGGUCACCAGGGUGGCCUAAUCCCGUUCACUGGGGUCCCUAUGAGAAGAGGGGAUGGGGACGCAGACACACGCACAGGUUCGACCAUGCGAGGACACAGGGAGAAGACGGUGUCUACACACCGAGGAGCGAGCCCUCAGAGGAACCAGCCCUGAGACAGCCGGAUCUCGGAUGUCCAGCCCCCAGACUGUGAGAGAACGAACGUCUGUUGUUCAAGCCGUCAGCCUGUGGCCGUUUGUUACUGCUGCCCGAGCCAAACGGGACAGGCGCCUCCUCUCAGAGAGGCUGGGGGCUCUCUGUGUGGGUGGCACCCGGGCAGGGCGAGCUCGUCCUCCUGCCCCGCUGGGCUCUCCUUCCUCGAAGCCGCUGCUCUGCCCCGUCGUGAAUUCAGCGUGGAGCUCUCCCAGCAUCUGUGAGGACAAAACUGCACGCGAGUCAUAUCCUGAUGGGGGGGUGAGGGACAAGGGACGAGGGCGCCGGGGCAGCAGUCCCUGCAAACGAGUGAGUGGGGUUCCGUCUGGCUGUGCCCUCGAGGCCCCAGUGACGGGUGGGGGCUCCGAAUCUGACCCUGGCCACCUUGUGAGUGUUUGUGGGGUCCAUGUCUGCAUUGUGUUAGCACCAGGGCUUGUCAUGACCGGAGGGGGCCCUGGUUCUGUAAUGAGUCUGUGGCUGGGGUGGACUCUCCCCCUCGCUCUGGCUCACAUUACUGGCCGGAAGGCCUGCUCCCGCCCCCUGCAUCUCAGCCUUGAGCUCUGAGCCCAAAGGUCCCAUCCUCAGGGUGUGUCCUCUUGAUUCCUGCUCUAAUCAGCGCCCCCCGGGGUGUGUGUGCAUGGCCCGGGUCCCUUCCCUCUGUUACACACAUCGCCACUGUCUUUUACUCAAUUCAGACAUUGUUACCUCCACCCCGGGCUGCAGCUCGUGGAGACCAGGGCUCGUGGGCAGGGGAGACCACUCCUCUGUGGGAGCCCCAGGAUGGGACUUGUGUCCUCGUGCCUCUGGCCUUCCUCCCCAGCUGGGCCACUUCGGACCCCGCGUCCCGGCUACCUGUGCAAACUCUCUGGGCCUCGGCGGCUUCAUCUUCAACAGGUGGCAAGCAAGCUGCUUCUGAGGCGGUUGGGAGCCGAGUCCCCGAGUGAGUGAGAAGCCCCCACACUGUCAGCUUCUGCGCCAGGAAGGGAGCGUUACGUGGAAAGAGGAGAGGAAAAGCACGAUGGGCGUGACGGCGCGUGGAGCCAGCAGUCCUGUUCUGGACCUUCGUGCCGACCCCUGGGAAGGGUCAGCGCGUCCACACGCUUCUUCUACUUCCUUCUCUGUCAGCUGAGAGGGUCCAGCCCCGUGCACGGGCGUCUCUCCUGCCCGCUUCGUGUGGGAGAACCAGGCUCUGGGCCACACGAGCUCAAGGCCAGGCAGUGGGGAUGUGGGCCCCAGCUAGUGGUCAUGUCCCCGCCAGGCGUGUCCAAGGCGCUCUUGCAGACACUCUGGUGUGACAGUGAGAAGAAAAAGGGCAAAUGCUGCCUCCGUGGAGCUCUGGUCUCCAGGGGGAGAUGAACCACAGACAAUACGCAGUGGGUCUGGGAGUGACAAGGACACUGAGGGAAGAGGUCCAGGGUGAUAGGACAGGCUCGGGGGACGGUGGGGGGGUGUUUGAGCAGAGCCCCCAGGCGGGAUGACCAUCACCAUCUGUCAGGAGACUUGCCCACACCCCACCCCAUUAAACGCAGGCCCAGAGUUCGAGCCCAGGUUUAUAUUUUCCUGGUGACCAUAGGGUGGUGUGGCCCUGGGGAAGGAGCUGAGACCCUACGAGAGGGCACCUAGCAGUGAGGACAGGUGCCUCCUUUCCCAAACCCGAGGCAGCGCCCGUCUCCCUCCCACAGCGAGCGCGCGGCUCUGACUCACCGUGAGAGCGGGAGUGACGCGGGCCGUCCACUUUACGACAAUUGGAUCUAAGAAUAUCCUGUCGCCCCCGCCACUGAGCCUGGGAAGAUGAAGAGACAAGGCUGUGAGAAUUCUCAGAGAUAAAAAGGCUUCUAAAAGGAAGUAGCAGGGAGUUCACACAAGCUUCUCCCCUGCAAGUGAUUAAUCCUGUCGCCGAUUUGACUUGACACAGUAAUUGGGAAACCAACUGGAUACCUUUGCAAGGAGAGUUAAGUAACCAGAUUUUUAAACUGAUUUUUCUUUUUUCCUUUUCUUCUUUUUUUAAAUUGGUAUAAAACUAAUAUGUGUGCAUGAUAAAAUUAAACACAAUAAAGGGAAUAAAAUUAGAGAUACAAGGUUCUCUCCAUCCCACCCCCACCAACCCCAGCUCUGUUCUCACUAUUGUAACCGUGUGUAAUCUUUCAGAAAUGUGCAUGCAAAGGGUGUGGGGGUGUGUGCUCACGUAUAAAUUUAAACAUCAAUGAGAUCACGCUGUAAUCGGCUCCAAAUCUUGACAUAUUGGAUAAACAACAUAUUGAAGAGAUCUUUCCAAAUAGAACCAGCUCAUUCCUUUAUAUCCUUCUAAUUUUUGGCUACUAUGGUUGUCUUGUUUUUGAAAAACAUGCAUAAAACUCCUACUGCGACUGUGGACUUGUGAUUCCACCAUUGCUUGCACACAAUCCACACCCACACAUGAACGCUCCUGCAUGCACACAUCACGCAAGCACACACGUGUGCAUCCCACAUGCACAUAUCACACACGUGUGCACACACAUUUGCACCCAGACAGACACGCUUCCCACCUGCAUCUCCACACACACCGACCCCUAAACACACACUGACACCUGUGCACACACCAUCCCACGCACACCCACACCCACGUACCCCAGACACAUUCACGCACGCUGACACUCCCUCGCACCAUCCCCCGCCCCCACACGCUGACAUACACACGCUGUAUUCCGCCGUAACAAAUGAUCACAAGCUUCGUGGCUCAAAACAGCAGAAAUUGAUUCUCUCGCAGUCUGGAGGCCAGACGCCCCAAAUCCAGGUGUGGGCAGGGCUGCGUUCCCUCUGAAGGCUCUAGAGGACCCUUCCUGCCUCUUCCAGCUCCUGGUGGCUGCCAGGAACCCUUUUUUGGUUGCCUCACUCCAGCCUCUGCCUCCCUGUGUGUCUGUGUCUCUGUGUCCAAAUUUCCCUCUUCUUCUUAUUUUUGGUGAGGAAGAUUGGCCCUGAGCUGACAUCUGUGCCCAUCUUCCUCUGUUCCAUAUGUGGG